CGUUAUGGGUGGUUCCGUGUGGGCACUUGCAAGAGUGGCCGGUUUUCUUGGAGCCGGUAGGCCAACCCGCACGGUUCCGCCCACCAGA
rnacentral:antisense_RNA from 1 species